rnacentral:tRNA from 1 species
GGGCCGGUAGCUCAGCGGUAGAGCACGGGACUUUUAAUCUCGUGGCCGAGGGUUCGAAUCCCUCCCGGCUCACCA